rnacentral:rRNA from 1 species
AAUUGGAGGGCAAGUCUGGUGCCAGCAGCCGCGGUAAUUCCAGCUCCAAUAGCGUAUAUUAAAGUUGUUGCAGUUAAAAAGCUCGUAGUUGAAUUUCGGGAUCAGCAGGUUGGUCGUGCCAAUGGUAUGAACUGGCCUUGCUGAUUCCUCCCUCUUGAUGAGCCGUAAUGCCAUUAAUUUGGUGUUGCGGGGAAUCAGGACUGUUACUUUGAAAAAAUUAGAGUGUUUAAAGCAGGCAAGCGCUUGAAUACAUUAGCAUGGAAUAAUGAAAUAGGACGUUCGAUCCUAUUUUGUUGGUUUCUAGGAUUGACGUAAUGAUUAAUAGGGAUAGUUGGGGGCAUUAGUAUUCAAUUGUCAGAGGUGAAAUUCUUGGAUUUAUUGAAGACUAACUACUGCGAAAGCAUUUGCCAAGGAUGUUUUCAUUAAUCAAGAACGAAAGUUAGGGGAUCGAAGACGAUCAGAUACCGUCGUAGUCUUAACCAUAAACUAUGCCGACUAGGGAUCGGAUGAUGUUAAUUUUUUAAUGACUCAUUCGGCGCCUUACGGGAAACCAAAGUGU